UACAGCAGUGGCGGAUCCAGAGGAGGGGCACUCGGGCCCGUGCCCCCCCUGUCAUUUGUUGCAGGUUUUUUUUUUAAUUGGCCAUAGCUCUGCUGCAAUCUCCCCUUGACAGAGCCAGCGGGCACUAGGGCAGUAGUCCCAGCGCAGGAGGCCCGGCGGCUGUCUGCUGCCACCAUACUGCUAAUGUAGCAGACUAGGUGCAUUGAAGUGCUGAUGUGUGCGCGGACCCACUCAUGGAGCCGUGGUAGUUUCAGGAGACCCGGCGGCUGCCUGCUGUCACAAUACAGCGAGUGCUGUUGUGUGCCCGGUGCCGCGGACUGUUCUCGAGACUGGGGAGCACUACUGGAGUCUGCGGGAGUGGGCUCAGUGCUGGGGGAGACUUAUCCUCUGUUCACCCCAGCCUACCGUCAUUGUGCAUAAUAGAACUCCCGCCAGAGGGAUCCACCUGUUAUAUCCUAGGGAAGGUCUUCAGGAUCUAAUUUACAUCUUCAAAGUUCCCGGAAUCAAAUUUGAAAAACUUUUAGUUGCAGAGUUGGACAAAUUAAGGUCCAUGGGAUGGUGUAUGGAACCACAUCAGGGAUGAAAGACAGAACGGGUUACCAUGGUGAUGGGACGUCACUAGGAUUUUCCACGCCCCCCUUUGAUGCUGGGUCGCCGGCGCGGGUGCGCGCCAAUGACGUCAUCGGCUCACAGCGGGCGCCGUGGAAGCAAGUGCACGAGGUGUGGUGAAAAAUCAAUGGACUCAAUUUUUGUAGGUCUAUCACUUGAGGUCCUUGGUAUGCUGGGCACAGAUGAAGAAACCUCGACACUGUCAGCUGUAACAAGGAUAAAUGUUACAAGGAGCCCAAGAGUGUGGAGCGAAUCAAACUUGACUGAAUUACUGCAGACUGUGAUUGGAACGUCUAAAUUACUUCAUAUCUCAAGGACACACACUGCGAAUAGAGGUCAUGGCCCAAAACUGUCUGCUACAAAUAUGGGAAAAAGUAACCUUUGGUGUUGUCAAAAUAAUGCCUUGUAAUGUUGACAAUCAUUUUUUUUUAGUUUGGAUUUCUUGCUUGUCAUUUCUGAUAAUAUUGUGUCUUUGAUACUAGAAAAUGAUUAAUAACUUGCAACAUUGAAGAGAGGGGGAAAAAUAAUGACAUAAAUACCAGCACAAGACCACUGUCCCUUAGCAAUAAAUCUAUACACUGGUCAACAGUAGAGAUGGAUUUAUCGAUUCAACCAAUGAUAACUUAGAUGCAAUUGAGAUUAGGGCAGUAGCAUGCAGGGAACAUAAAAAAGCCAAUCCCAAGCAAUGAUGUCUAUAGCUUUAUUACAAAAAAAAAAAAAAAAAAAAGAAAUACUAAA